ACCCCGAGGAAGGGGUGGCUGGCGAGUCUACGGCGCUGCUAUUACUAACCGUCUACCUCAACAACACAAGUCUCUCCUGUCAUAAAGAGCUACCACGAGUACAGCAGCCUGUACAGAAAGUUAUCGGUGGUCAGGUAUCCAGCGCUGAACAGAAUAUUGACCAGCGACUACUAACACUCAGUCUAGAACCAGACAUUGAGCUCAGGUGAAAGUUUCAACACACACGUGUAGAGAAGCUGUGUCAGAAUAAUGUCUUCACAAGGGAACAGAAGUUUCCCACGGAUGAGGACUGCCUCACUGACUUCCAUUCCCAUUUCUUGUUUGAUGACGAGAAAAAAUCAUCUUCUGUUUUGUGCCUAAAAUAUCAGCUAACAGAUGAGGAGGGGGUUUCACCAAGAGCUAAGCUGCACACUCAGAACAUUUAUCAAAGUUGGCCACCAUUCCCAAACUCCCUCCCUCUGUGAAGGAUCUGAGAUAUUAUGACCAGCUGCUCCACAAUACUCGGUAGGCUUACGCCGCGCCGGACAAGAAGUACGAGUUGGGAUAACACCCCCUCACAAUGACUAAUGCACCUAAUUCACCUUUACUAGCGAAUCCAUAAUUAUACAUUUUGCUCAUAAAAGUCAUUGACUCUUUCUUUGUUGCUUAUCAUAAUUAUUAUUCAUCUGUGUGAGAUCUUUACCAAACAAACACAUUUGAGG